rnacentral:rRNA from 1 species
UCGGGAAAACUUCGCAAUGCGCGAAAGCGUGACGAGGGAAUUCCAAGUGCUUUCCUUUGGGAAGGCUUUUGCCAAGAGCAAAAAUCUUGGCGAAUAAGUGGUGGGCAAGACUGGUGCCAGCCGCCGCGGUAACCCCAGCGCCACAAGUGGGAACCACUAUUAUUGGGUCUAAAGCGUCCGUAGCAGGUCGAGUAAAUUUCCUGUGAAAUUGUUGAGCUUAACUCAACAGCGUGCAGGAAACACUGCUUGACUAGGGACCAGGAGAGGCAGGAGGUAUUCUUGGGGGAGCGGUAAAAUGUUAUAAUCCCGAGAGGACCACCGAUGGCGAAGGCAUCCUGCUAGAAUGGAUUCGACUGUGAGGGACGAAAGCUAGGGGAGCGAUCCGG